GCAGGAAGCCAGUGAUGUCUUAGCCGUGAUGUCUGAACCUGGCUGAAGAGCCCUUCUGAAGAAACACCUCUAGGCUCUGAGGCUUCCAGGGGA